rnacentral:rRNA from 1 species
CCUACGGGGGGCAGCAGUGAGGAAUAUUGGUCAAUGGGCUUACGCCUGAACCAGCCAAGUCGCGUGAGGGAAGACUGCCCUAUGGGUUGUAAACCUCUUUUGUCAGGGAGCAAUUGGCGCUACGUGUAGCGUUAUCGAGAGUACCUGAAGAAAAAGCAUCGGCUAACUCCGUGCCAGCAGCCGCGGUAAUACGGAGGAGGCGAGCGUUAUCCGGAUUGAUUGGGUUUAAAGGGUGCGUAGGCGGAAUGCCAAGUCAGCGGUAAAAUCGCGGGGCUCAACCUCGCUCCGCCGUUGAAACUGGCGUUCUUGAGUGGGCGAGAAGUAUGCGGAAUGCGUGGUGUAGCGGUGAAAUGCAUAGAUAUCACGCAGAACUCCGAUUGCGAAGGCAGCAUACCGGCGCCCAACUGACGCUGAAGCACGAAAGCGUGGGUAUCGAACAGGAUUAGAUACCCUAGUAGUC